rnacentral:rRNA from 1 species
CCUACGGGGGGCAGUAGUGGGGAAUUUUGGACAAUGGGGGCAACCCUGAUCCAGCCAUGCCGCGUGAGUGAAGAAGGCCUUCGGGUUGUAAAGCUCUUUCGGCCGGGAAGAAAUCGCUCAAUCUAAUACCUUGGGUGGAUGACGGUACCGGAAGAAGAAGCACCGGCUAACUACGUGCCAGCAGCCGCGGUAAUACGUAGGGUACUAGCGUUCAUCGGAAUUGCUCGGCGGAAGGCGUGCGCAAGAUGCGAAAUCCCCGGGCUUAACCUGGGAACUGCGGUUGUGACUGUGGUGCUCGAGUGCGGCAGAGGGGGGUGGAAUUCCACGUGUAGCAGUGAAAUGCGUAGAGAUGUGGAGGAACACCGAUGGCGAAGGCAGCCCCCUGGGUCGACACUGACGCUCAUGCACGAAAGCGUGGGGAGCAAACAGGAUUAGAUACCCUGGUAGUC